rnacentral:rRNA from 1 species
UCUUCCCUCUUUCUUCGUGCCUCCUCCCUGCACGUCGAGCGCACGGACGAGAAGCUUGCUUUUCUGAUGUUAGCGACGGACGGGUGAGUAACACGUGGAUAACCUACCUAUAAGACUGGGAUAACUUCGGGAAACCGGAGCUAAUACCGGAUAAUAUUUUGAACCGCAUGGUUCAAAAGUGAAAGACGGUCUUGCUGUCACUUAUAGAUGGAUCCGCGCUGCAUUAGCUAGUUGGUAAGGUAACGGCUUACCAAGGCAACGAUGCAUAGCCGACCUGAGAGGGUGAUCGGCCACACUGGAACUGAGACACGGUCCAGACUCCUACGGGAGGCAGCAGUAGGGAAUCUUCCGCAAUGGGCGAAAGCCUGACGGAGCAACGCCGCGUGAGUGAUGAAGGUCUUCGGAUCGUAAAACUCUGUGAUUAGGGAAGAACAUAUGUGUAAGUAACUGUGCACAUCUUGACGGUACCUAAUCAGAAAGCCACGGCUAACUACGUG